rnacentral:rRNA from 1 species
GACGAACGCUGGCGGCGUGCUUAACACAUGCAAGUCGAACGGAAAGGCCCUUCGGGGUACUCGAGUGGCGAACGGGUGAGUAACACGUGGGUGAUCUGCCCUGCACUUUGGGAUAAGCCUGGGAAACUGGGUCUAAUACCGAAUAGGACCACGCGCUUCAUGGUGUGUGGUGGAAAGCUUUUGCGGUGUGGGAUGGGCCCGCGGCCUAUCAGCUUGUUGGUGGGGUAAUGGCCUACCAAGGCGACGACGGGUAGCCGGCCUGAGAGGGUGACCGGCCACACUGGGACUGAGAUACGGCCCAGACUCCUACGGGAGGCAGCAGUGGGGAAUAUUGCACAAUGGGCGCAAGCCUGAUGCAGCGACGCCGCGUGAGGGAUGACGGCCUUCGGGUUGUAAACCUCUUUCAAUAGGGACGAAGCGCAAGUGACGGUACCCAUAGAAGAAGCACCGGCCAACUACGUG